UACGAAGGGGGCUAGCGUUGUUCGGAAUUACUGGGCGUAAAGCGCACGUAGGCGGACAUUUAAGUCAGGGGUGAAAUCCCAGAGCUCAACUCUGGAACUGCCUUUGAUACUGGGUGUCUUGAGUCCGAGAGAGGUGGAUGGAAUUCCUAGUGUAGAGGUGAAAUUCGUAGAUAUUAGGAAGAACACCGGUGGCGAAGGCGGUCCACUGGCUCGGUACUGACGCUGAGGUGCGAAAGCGUGGGGAGCAAACAGG
rnacentral:rRNA from 1 species